rfam:Candidatus Niyogibacteria bacterium RIFCSPLOWO2_12_FTLL_41_13 rifcsplowo2_12_scaffold_4120, whole genome shotgun sequence.
GCGGGAAUGGUUUAGUGGCAAAAUAGCUCUCUUCCAAAGAGCAGUCGGGGGUUCGACUCCCCCUUCCCGCA